GUUAGACCAUGAGGUAAGAACGUGAGGUUAGAACAAGAAGUUAGAAUGUGAGGUUAAAAUGACAGGUCAGAACGUGAGGUGAGAACAAGAGGUUAGAACGUGAGGUUAGACCGUGAGGUAAGAACGUGAGGUUAGAACAUGAAGUUAGAACGUGAGGUUAGAAUGUGAGGUUAGAAUGACAGGCUAGAACGUUAGGUGAGAACAAGAGGUUAGAGCGUGAGGUAAGAACGUGUCGUAAAAAUGCGAGGUUUAAACGUGAGAUUUGACCAUGAGAUUAGACCGUGAGGUUAGAGCGUGAGGUUGGAAUGACAGGUUAGAACGUGUCGUAAAAACGUGAGGUUUGAACGUGAGGUCAGAACGUGAGGUUAGAGCGUGAGGUUGGAAUGACAGGUUAGAACAUGAGGUGAGAACAAGAGGUUAGAGCGUGAAGUUGGAAUGACAGGUUAGAACAUAUGAUAAAAACGUGAGGUUAGAGCGUGAGGUUGGAAUGACAGGUUAGAACGUAUCAUAAAAACGUGAGGUUAGAGCGUGAGGUUGGAAUGACAGGUUAGAACGUGAGGUGAGAACAAGAGGUUAGAAUGACAGGUUAGAACGUGAGGUGAGAACAAGAGGUUAGAGCGUGAAGUUGGAAUGACAGGUUAGAACAUAUGAUAAAAACGUGAGGUUACAACGUGAGGUUGGAAUGACAGGUUAGAACGUAUCAUAAAAACGUGAGGUUAGAACGUGAGGUUGGAAUGACAGGUUAGAACGUAUCAUAAAAACGUGAGGUUACAACGUGAGGUUGGAAUGACAGGUUAGAACGUAUCAUAAAAACGUGAGGUUAGAGCGUGAGGUUGGAAUGACAGGUUAGAACGUAUCAUAAAAACGUGAGGUUAGAGCGUGAGGUUGGAAUGACAGGUUAGAACGUAUCAUAAAAACGUGAGGUUAGAGCGUGAGGUUGGAAUGACAGGUUAGAACGUAUCAUAAAAACGUGAGGUUAGAGCGUGAGGUUAGAAUGACAGGUUAGAAUGUGAGGUGAGAACAAGAGGUUAGAGCGUGAAGUUGGAAUGACAGGUUAGAACAUAUGAUAAAAACGUGAGGUUACAACGUGAGGUAAGAAUGACAGGUUAGAGCGUGAGGUUAGAACGUGUCGUAAAAACGCGAGGUUUGAACGUGAGAUUAGAGCGUGAGGUAAGAACGUGUCGUAAAAACGUGAGGUCAGAACGUGAAGUUAGAGCGUGAGGUUAGAACGUGAGGUUAAGAGCAUGAGGUUUGAACUGAGGUUAGAACAUGAGGUUAGAAUGUAAGGUAAGAACAUGAGGUUAGAACGUAACGUAAAAACGUGAGGUUUGAACAUGAGAUUAGAGCGUCAGGUUAGAAUGAGAGGUUAGAACGCAUCAUAAAAACGUGAGGUUAGAAUGUAAGUUAAGAACGUGAGGUAAAUACGAGAAGUUAGAACAUGAGGUUUAGAAUAUGAGGUUAAAAUGACAGGUUAGAACGUGAGGUUAGACCAUGAGGUAAGAACGUGAGGUUAGAACAAGAAGUUAGAAUGUGAGGUUAAAAUGACAGGUCAGAACGUGAGGUGAGAACAAGAGGUUAGAACGUGAGGUUAGACCGUGAGGUAAGAACGUGAGGUUAGAACAUGAAGUUAGAACGUGAGGUUAGAAUGUGAGGUUAGAAUGACAGGCUAGAACGUUAGGUGAGAACAAGAGGUUAGAGCGUGAGGUAAGAACGUGUCGUAAAAAUGCGAGGUUUAAACGUGAGAUUUGACCAUGAGAUUAGACCGUGAGGUUAGAGCGUGAGGUUGGAAUGACAGGUUAGAACGUGUCGUAAAAACGUGAGGUUUGAACGUGAGGUCAGAACGUGAGGUUAGAGCGUGAGGUUGGAAUGACAGGUUAGAACAUGAGGUGAGAACAAGAGGUUAGAGCGUGAGGUUGGAAUGACAGGUUAGAACGUGUCGUAAAAACGUGAGGUUUGAACGUGAGGUCAGAACGUGAGGUUAGAGCGUGAGGUUGGAAUGACAGGUUUGAACGUGAGGUCAGAACGUGAGGUUAGAGCGUGAAGUUGGAAUGACAGGUUAGAACAUAUGAUAAAAACGUGAGGUUAGAGCGUGAGGUUGG